rnacentral:sRNA from 138 species
AUAUCUCUCUGUACGGGAAGGAUGAGAAGCUUCGACUAAGGUUCGAUUCGAGCGCAGCGAGAAAGCGUUGCCGCAGGCAACGACCCGAAGGGCGAAGCGCGCAGCGCUGAGUCAUCCUUCCCCCACCACCA